GAUAGAGAAGGGCGUGGGCUGGGCCUACCCGGCAGGAGCCGCCUCACCCCAUCAGGCCCAGAUCCUCUAAGACAAGACAGGGAUAAAGUCUCCCGUGGAAUCCCCUCCCGCCUCAUAUUCCCUGACCCUGCCCUCCCUGCGAGAACUCCAGUCCGGGCUCCACAAAGGGCGCGAUGGAGUCUUGCUUAGUCGCCCAAGCUGGAGUAGUGUGGCUCGAUCUCAGCUCUGCAACCUCUGCCUCCCAGGGUUCAAGCAAUUCUCCUGCCUCAGUUUCCAGAGUAGCUGGAAUUAUAGUGCAGAUUCUGGGAAAGUGAACUCCACGGAAGACUCAGAAACCAAGUUCUAAUUCAGUUGCCAUGAAAACUUAAGGUGAGAGGAUUGUCAACCAGUGAAAAAUACGGAGGAAAACACUAACAGAAUAUGAUGAAGAAGCCAAGACUUGGGCUGCUUGCAUUACAUUAACCGAGGUUUACCCGCAGCGAGGCUGCCUCCAAAGCAUCCGGAGUUUGCAACCAUCACUGUCCACCCCGCGAGCUGCGAUAGUGCGAGAACUACAAUUCCCGUGGGG
rnacentral:lncRNA from 1 species